rnacentral:rRNA from 1 species
AGAGUUUGAUCCUGGCUCAGAANNNACGCUGGCGGCAUGCCUAACACAUGCAAGUCGAACGCGUGUAGCAAUACACGAGUGGCGGACGGGUGAGUAACGCGUGGGAACCUGCCCAAUGGUAGGGAAUAACUGCGGGAAACUGCAGCUAAUACCCUAUGCUCCCUACGGGGGAAAGAUUUAUCGCCAUUGGAGGGGCCCGCGUCGGAUUAGCUAGUUGGCGGGGUAACGGCCCACCAAGGCUACGAUCCGUAGCUGGUCUGAGAGGAUGAUCAGCCACACUGGGACUGAGAUACGGCCCAGACUCCUACGGGAGGCAGCAGUGGGGAAUAUUGGACAAUGGGGGAAACCCUGAUCCAGCAAUGCCGCGUGAGUGAAGAAGGCCUUAGGGUUGUAAAGCUCUUUCGGCGGGGACGAUGGUGACGGUACCCGCAGAAGAAGCCCCGGCUAACUUCGUGCCAGCAGCCGCGGUAAUACGAAGGGGGCUAGCGUUGUUCGGAAUCACUGGGCGUAAAGGGCGCGUAGGCGGCGCGACAAGUCAGGCGUGAAAGCCCCGGGCUCAACCCGGGAAUUGCGCUUGAUACUGUCGUGCUUGAGGCCGGGAGAGGAUGGCGGAAUUCCCAGUGUAGAGGUGAAAUUCGUAGAUAUUGGGAAGAACACCGGUGGCGAAGGCGGCCAUCUGGACCGGUUCUGACGCUGAGGCGCGAAAGCGUGGGGAGCAAACAGGANUAGAUACCCUGGUAGUCCACGCCGUANACGAUGAGUGCUAGNC